rnacentral:tRNA from 1 species
GCUUGGAUAGCUCAGUUGGUUAGAGCGUGGUGCUGAUAAUGCCAAGGUUGCAGGUUUGAUCCCCAUAUGGGACA